CCUACGGGAGGCAGCAGUGGGGAAUAUUGCACAAUGGGGGAAACCCUGAUGCAGCGACGCCGCGUGAGCGAUGAAGUAUUUCGGUAUGUAAAGCUCUAUCAGCAGGGAAGAAAAUGACGGUACCUGACUAAGAAGCCCCGGCUAACUACGUGCCAGCAGCCGCGGUAAUACGUAGGGGGCAAGCGUUAUCCGGAUUUACUGGGUGUAAAGGGAGCGUAGACGGUCCUGCAAGCCAGAUGUGAAAGCCCGGGGCUCAACCCCGGGACUGCAUUUGGAACUGUAAGGCUAGAGUGUCGGAGAGGCAGGCGGAAUUCCUAGUGUAGCGGUGAAAUGCGUAGAUAUUAGGAGGAACACCGAUUGCGAAGGCAUCUCACGAAUCCGCGAUUGACGCUGAUGCACGAAAGCGUGGGUAUCAAACGGGAUUAGAUACCCCUGUAGUC
rnacentral:rRNA from 1 species